rnacentral:lncRNA from 1 species
UGUUAGUGGCGGUGGAAAUUUUGUUUGUUCCACGCGUGAAACAUCUCGGGAAAAUAUUCCCCACCCCCAGUCCCCUUACAUAUUAAGGAAACUAACCGUUACAAAAUUUUGUCAAGAUUACAAAAUACCAAUCGCAAAAAAAAAUCGGUUCGUCUGAUUCUUGGAGAGUAUCUAGAGAGAAAAGUGACCUGUUUCUUGGAAUAUUGAGUUAGCAAAGUUGAAACUUGUGGGUUUUGGAAUAGUAUGGCUUUCUUUCUUACACUGUUGAAUGCUUUUUGAGUGAACAUUUUCCCCGUAAUGGUUUAAAUAUCUUGACCAUACAUUUAAUCUCCGCCUCAUCCAAAAACGUAUUCCUUGCAAAUCUUUCUGCUGCUGAAAAAUAGUUUUCGGACGGUCAAAAAGAGGUCAGAACCCAAACCAUGUCAAAACCAAGGUGAGUUUGUGUUUUGCUUUGCUGAACGCGAUGUGUUACUCUGGUGCAUAUAUACAUACUUACGUUGACAGGUUUAUAUAUGAAUAACAUGAUUAAAGGAAGAUGAAUUAAAGCAAGUAAUAAUGACAACUUGUAACUAUGCAAGAUUUUGGAGUGUGCAUUCAAGAUUUGAGACUUAUGUUUUGCAGGUAUCUCAAAUAUAGAAUUAAAAAGACGAGUGAGUAAAAUCUCUCUAAGAUUUUGUCUUGUGUAUAUUAUUAUUUUUAAAGCACGGAUAUUAGAGGUUGGCAACGAAAUGAAAGAUUAGGGGUGUUUAUCUGUUCGGUUUGAAAGUUAAAGGAAUAUUGGAUUUUAAUAAUAGCUAUUCGCCGUGGCUGCCAACAGUCCCAACUUCAAAAAUAACCACUGACAGUCCCAGCUAUUAACAUGUUGGCCUCCAAUGGACACUGACUAACAGAACUCUAACGCCGUUAGUCUUUGGUCGUCGGAAAAACGUUUUUGGCCGGAAAACUAAAUUUUUUUUGUCCCAAAACUCUUUGUAAUCCUCUUACGGACUUUUAAGAACUUUUUUCUAGUAAAAGCUCCAAUUAUUGAAGUCGCCGGAAAACUUCUUUUGGCCGGAAAACUCAACGUUUUGGUCGAAAAACUCAACAUUUUCAUCCCAAACCUCUUUGUAACAUUAGAUCUGACCUUUAGAAACCUUUUUCUGGUAAAAAAAACAGUUUUCCAGAGACUAACGACAUUAGAGUUCUGUUAGUCAGGGUUUAUUGGUGGACAAUAUGUCAAUAGUUGGGACUGACAGUGGUUAUAUUUAAAGUUGAGAUCGUUGACGGCAAACAACAAAUUGUUGAGGUUAUUAAAAUUCAAUAUUCAAAAGUUAAAUGGGGAGUUCGAAGUGGUGGGGUUUUUUAAUUUUUAAAUUUUGGCAUGAUGUUUCUUUCAUGAUGACAUGGUUUGUAC